CAUGUCUUUUUGAUUAUAAUUUAAAGUCUGACCUGCCCUCUGAAUUAUAUAUUUGAAUGGCUGCGGUAUUUUGACCGUGCAAAGGUAGCAUAAUAAUUAGUUUCUUAAUUGGGAACUGGUAUGAAUGGUUGAACGAGAAAAAGACUGUCUCAAUUUAAUUUAAAUUAGAAUUUUAUUUUUAAGUAAAAAAGCUUAAAUUAUUUUAAAAGACGAGAAGACCCUAUAGAGUUUUAUAAAAAAUUAUUUAUUUGAAAAUUGAAGAAUUAUAAAUUUAAAUAUAUAAAUUUUUAUUUGGUUGGGGCGAUUGAAAAAUUAAAAUAACUUUUUUUAAUGUAUAACAUUAAUAUAUGAAUAAAUGAUCCAUUAAUAAUGAUUAUAAGAUUAAAUUACCUUAGGGAUAACAGCGUAAUUUUUUUUGAGAGUUCUUAUCGAAAAAAAAGUUUGCGACC
rnacentral:rRNA from 1 species